CAGCAGCCGCGGGAAUACGUAGGGUGCAAGCGUUAAUCGGAAUUACUGGGCGUAAAGCGUGCGCAGGCGGAUCAGUUAGUCUGUCUUAAAAGUUCGGGGCUUAACCCCGUGAGGGGAUGGAAACUGCUGAUCUAGAGUAUCGGAGAGGAAAGUGGAAUUCCUAGUGUAGCGGUGAAAUGCGUAGAUAUUAGGAAGAACACCAGUGGCGAAGGCGACUUUCUGGACGAAAACUGACGCUGAGGCGCGAAAGCCAGGGGAGCGAACGGGAUUAGAUACCCGGGUAGUCCCUGUCUCUUAUACA
rnacentral:rRNA from 1 species